GACGAACGCUGGCGGCGUGCUUAACACAUGCAAGUCGAACGGAAAGGCCCUGCUUUUGUUGGGUGCUCGAGUGGCGAACGGGUGAGUAACACGUGAGUAACCUUCCCUUGACUUUGGGAUAACUUCAGGAAACUGGGGCUAAUACCUGAUAGGAGCUCCUGCUGCAUGGUGGGGGUUGGAAAGUUUCGGCGGUUGGGGAUGGACUCGCGGCUUAUCAGCUUGUUGGUGGGGUAGUGGCUUACCAAGGCUUUGACGGGUAGCCGGCCUGAGAGGGUGACCGGCCACAUUGGGACUGAGGUAGGGACCAGACUGCUACGGGAGGCAGCGGGGGGGAAUAUUGCACAAUGGGCGGAAGCCUGAUGCAGCAACGCCGCGUGCGGGAUGACGGCCUUCGGGUUGUAAACCGCUUUCGCCUGUGACGAAGCGUGAGUGACGGUAAUGGGUAAAGAAGCACCGGCUAACUACGUG
rnacentral:rRNA from 1 species